AUGUACCACUCGUACACUCCGGUUCCUGUGCGCCGUCCGCACCACCUGACGACUGCUCGCUACGUUUUGUUAGCC
rnacentral:sRNA from 1 species